AAUAAGGUUGCUAAAGUUGCUCAAUCUGAAUAUAAUAGUCCAAAACUAUUCUACUUCUGCUUACACAAACAUUACAGGUAUCGCAGGUCGCUCACUGCAUGCACCAAGGCAUGCAAGUGCUCCAGCAGGAAAUGCACUGCAGCCACAUAUACAUCAGCACCUAAAAUAUCAACAGAGCAAUUAAAAAACCACAACAAAAAUAACAAAAAAGCAAAUAAAUAUUUUUGACUUCCCAUAAAACAACCAGUCAACCCGUGUCGGCUGCAAUAACUUGCAGAGCAGCCUUCACGCACAGUACACUGAUUCAGGAUCGCCAUGCAUGCAGACUUGUGGGGAUAUUGGGGACAGCAGCAGCGGAUGAAACAGAUGAAAAGCUUUCUUUGGGAUGUGUAUAAUCCUGUCCUCACCAAAGCCGUCAGACCACCACGUAGAUUAUAACCCGGCGGAUCAUCACUUCUUUUUCUCUCUCUCUCUCUCUCUCUCUCUCUCUCUCUCUCGCUUCCCCCCCCGGGCUAUCUGUAUUUAACGAAGCGCAGCGGUGACAUAGAUAUUUCUUAACUUUCCCUCAGAAGCAAAAGCAGUACCGAGCAGCUGCAGCAGGCUGGACUGAACACCUUAAAAGAACGGCUGUUUCUCGGUUCCCCUCCUCUCGCCUGUUGCGCUGUGGACAGUCGCAGCACAUGGUGCGUUGUUGUGAGAUGUGGAUCAAAGCGGGAAGAGCUUCUGAGCCUCGCCGGACAUUUAGCGUCUUUGCUCUGGUAACUGGCAGUGAGACAGAGUUUUGAGCUCCAAGCGCAAACAGUUUUGGCCAGAGAGAGAAAUUAUGCAAACACACACUGGCGAUUAAGUAACAGAUUUUCCCUCUUGGGUUUUUCCACAUGGAGACUACCUGACAUGCUGCUGAAACCGUGAUGGAGGGAGGAGGUUAUAGGCCAGUGGGCCCUUCCAGCCCCUUUUCUCGAUGUAUGUUAUAUAGCAGGUGAGAAACAUUAACGGAGGCAGCAGCAGCUGCAGACCUCUGCUCCACACAUGUGGGCCAGGAUAUGAGCUAGCUUGAGCUCUCCCACUCUCAACUUUAGUGAGUAAGGUUAUCACUCUCCACUCAGAACCACAGGAAACAGUGCUGCCAAACUGGAAACAGCAUAGCUCUGUUUAAUUUGUUUCAAUAUGUUACUUUGAACACUGAUCUUAAUAAUAUAUAGGUUUGCCAGAACUUGAUCUAAAAUGAUUCUAUUUGCUUAUUUGUCAUGUGACUGGCCACACCCACCCUAGCUUCUAAAAGCUAUGUGACAUUUGUGAAAAUUAUAAUGUUUCUGAGUGUUUUUGAGGUUAGAGUGUUUGCUAUACAAUGUUCGUUAUGAAUAUACCAUUUAAGUUAUUUACUGGUUGCAUUUGAAUAUGGAAAUGUCUUGGCUGUGCAAUUUGCUUGAGACAUGUGUGCCUUGUUGGGUCAUUUGAAUUACCCUCCUCAGCCCGGGCCAUGAACCCGGAGACCCAGUUGUCACAUUGUGUUUUGAGCACACAGACUCUGGCCACAGCGGUGAGGUGUCCCAGAGGAGAGUGGCAUGUUUCUGUGAAUCAUAACCGCUGUUCUGUGUUCAGUGAGCCGUGUCAAAGCGGAUUACCUGCAUGAACGGGGACCUGAAAGGACUUUGUUUUUAAAGACUGUCCUUUGGGGUGAGGUAGUAGGUUGUAUAGUUUUAGGGUCGUACCCUUCCUGUCAGAUAACUAUACAACUUACUGUCUUUCCUGAAGUGGCUGUAAUGUCGUCAGAUGCCUUUGGGGAAGUGCACGGAUCCAGGUCGACGCACUGCUUGCUAACGGCUCAGUAGCACAAGUUUGAUAGCAGAAAGUCAUUAAGGACUGUAGCCGCUUUGUGCAAGUCGUUGAAUGACAAUAAAGUACAACUGUGUUUUCAUUGUAAGUGUUCAUUCUUUUUGUGUAAAACACAACUUCAUAUCUCAGCAGACACUUUGCGCUGCGUAAUCGUUUCCAAAGGUUGCUCCUGUUUAGCCGCCGGUCUCUUUGUUUAUUUUCUUUGCACUUGUAAAAAUCUAAAAGAAAUCAUCACAAUUUGGGGUUUUUUAGUAAUUAAAACUCGACAAAAAUCUCGGUGUUUGCUUUUCAUGUAGGUAUGGUUUUUGUCAAAUUCUGUAUAUUCAUUUACAGAUUGUAUAUGUCAUCAUAACGCUUUUAUCAUUACCAGAGAUUUUACCCAGCCUGUAGGGCCUUUACUGAUGUUCGUACGGGGUGAGGUAGUAGGUUGUGUGGUUUCAGGGUAGUGAUUUUGCCCAAUCAGGAGAUAACUAUACAACCUACUGCCUUCCCUGAAGGGCAGCAAUACUUCACCAUUCACACACAUCAGGAAGCAUUUUGUUCAUAUCAUUAAAAAAAACUCCAUAUUGACAAACUAAACUACAUGAAUCAUCUGAGUCUAAGAAAUUUUAUAUAAAGAUGUCAAAUCAGACCAUAGCAGCGGAAGAGGCAGCAGGUAAAGUCUGUGCAGUAAGGAAAAUGUCUUUGACUCAGAUUUUUUUAUUUUUUUGCUUCAAAAUUAAUAAUAAAAAAUAAGGUGAUUGAUCAUU